UACGUAGGGGGCAAGCGUUGUCCGGAAUUAUUGGGCGUAAAGCGCGUGUAGGCGGCUCGGUAAGUCUGCUGUGAAAGUCCAGGGCUCAACCCUGGAAUGCCGGUGGAUACUGUCGAGCUCGAGUCCGGAAGAGGCGAGUGGAAUUCCUGGUGUAGCGGUGAAAUGCGCAGAUAUCAGGAGGAACACCAAUGGCGAAGGCAGCUCGCUGGGACGGUACUGACGCUGAGACGCGAAAGCGUGGGGAGUAAACAGG
rnacentral:rRNA from 1 species